rnacentral:lncRNA from 1 species
CGUGGCCGGGCAGGAAGAGCAGGGUCCCGCCUUCAGGUGUUUGGGACUCAGCUGAGGGUGUGGGUGCCCCGCGGUGGGGGCUGAACCUUCCUGGGGUGUGGAGAGACGAAAGGAGCCCAGAUCCAAGUUCCCUCGUUCCCGCUUUGGCAUAAGUUGCCCUGGCGGUCUCAUGAGAGAGAGAAAGAGCUGGGACCCUCCUCGCCCCAUGUAACAUCAGACAAGGGUGUUGACUCUGCAGCACAGAACCAGUAGUUUGUGGAGAAGAAUGGAGGUGUGGUGUUGAAUCUGCUAGACAGGCUACUGAAGCAAAAGUCAAGAGAUCCAGAUUCCAUCAUGGGGACACUUUAG